rfam:Equus caballus chromosome 20, whole genome shotgun sequence.
UAAAAGGCUCUUUUAAGAGCCACCCACUUUUUCUCAAAAAUAGCUG